rnacentral:lncRNA from 1 species
GCUGUCGUUUGCCUCUGCAAAUGCCUCUGCAAAUGCCUUUUGAGACACAGGCAUUCUAAACAGAUGCAUCUUUGUCUCCAAGUUUUUAAUCCAGUAUUAACUCUCUGGGUAGAGAAGAGAUUUGUUCAGUAAGUAUUUUCAUCAUAAAUAGAUUAACUGGAUCAUUUAUCUGAAUCAAGAUUUAAUGCUUCUGAUCGCAAAUUGGCCAUUUCAUGGACAUACCCAGAGCCAGUGUCUCUAGCAGCAACUAGCUCUAAGGUUGUCUUCAGUUUCAGGUUCCCACCUUACUCUUUGCCCAGUCUAGUGGCAUCCCUGCGAUUUUUUAUUUUUUUAAUUUUUUUUAUUUUUAGCAUUUCUGUACUCUCUCCUGCCCUCUCACCAACUCUGUUGAACUUUUCACUCACACCUCUAGGCAGCAACCUAGUUAUAGCUGUCAUAUUUCCCUUCCCACACAACCAGGAGGGAUGGCCCUUUUGGGGUUAAGUCUUCUCCUUUCACAAAGAAGAGAUGCACCAGCUUUAGAGAGGUCCCUGCUCUUCUGAUAGUUUUUGUGUUUGGAAAGGUGAGGAACAGAGGUGAAGAUGAAUCAAUGGAGAUGUUGAAGGAACUGAGUUAUAAAAAGCUGCCAGAGGCAUAUGGCAAGGAAAUCAGGGCCUGACGGGUUUUUGGCAGGAAUAGAGCAAAGUUAAAAAAUGAAUAAUACAGCUGGCUGAUGUCUGAAAUAAACAUUUUAUAACCAUAACAAUACUGGUAUUUCAGUAUAUAUGUGUGUGUAUGUAUUUAUGUAUUUGUUGGUUAUAGCAUGUACUACACUUUAUUAAAAAUGAUUUGCCUUUCUAAUUACACCUUCCUUGAGCAAACAUCAUUUUCGUGGUUAAAAAAAACAACACACCAAUGGUUAGAGGAGCUCAAGACUAAACAAUUACCCUGGAUUUUUACAAUUGAAAAAGUUUGCAAUCUUUACAUGAAAUGUUCUUACUUAUUAUUGAUGAU